rnacentral:rRNA from 1 species
GUCUCGUAGGUGACCUGCGGAGGGAUCAUUA